rnacentral:rRNA from 1 species
AAUUGAUAUAAAUAGCUAAAUAAAAUAAUUGAUUAAUUUAGAGUAAUAAGAAAAAUAUUUUUAUAAUAAAGAAUAAUGAGUAAAGUUAAUUGAAUAUAAGUAGAUUAAAAGCGAUAGUGAAGUAGUACUGAAGGGGAAAUUUGAAAUAUAAUUAAAUAAUAAAUAUUAAUAGAAGUAAUUUUUAAAAUUUGUACCUUGUGUAUCAGGGAAAAUCAAAAUUUAUAAUUUAUAAAUUUAUAUCUCGGUGAAAAAGUGUCUAAUUAUAUUUGGUAAUUUAUGUAGGAAAAUAAUAUAAAAAAUAUAAUUAGUGGUGAAAUGUUGAUCGAAUUUUUAUAUCUAGUUGUUUUUGAAAUAAAUUUAAUUUAAUCUAUUUUUAGAAUUAAAAAUGGGUAAAGUAUAGGAGGGAUGAGCUUUUUAUACAAAGAUAAUAAAAUAGAAGAAAUAUUUACGGAAAUAAUAUAUAAAUAGGCUUAGAGGUAGCAAUUUUUAUAGUGUGUUCUAACUAAUAAAAUAAAACAAAAUAUAAUUCUCUAUUUUAAGGUAGAAAACUUAAAUAAUUAAUAUUAAUUUAUUUGUAAAAUUGAUUUUAUUAGUAGUAUUUAUAAUUUAAAAAUAUAAUUAAAUAUAUUUAUAAUUUUAAUAUAUGUUUGUUUUUAUUAAGGAAUUCGGCAAAAAAGGUUUCUGCCUGUUUAUCAAAAACAUGUCCUAUUGGAGUUUUAAUAGGUCUGGCCUGCCCACUGAAGUUUAAAGGGCCGCGGUAUUUUGACCGUGCGAAGGUAGCAUAAUCAUUAGUUUUUUAAUUGAAGGCUGGUAUGAAUGGUCGGACAAGAAAUAAGCUGUCUUUAUAGAAAUUAUUGAAUUUAACAUUUAAGUAAAAAGGCUUAAAUAAAUUAAGGGGACGAUAAGACCCUAUAAAGCUUUAUAUUUUCUUUAUUUUAUUAAGGAUGUGUUAUGGAAAUUAAUUUAUUAAAGAAAUUAUUGUGUUGGGGCGACAAAAGUAAAUUAUAGUAUCUGCUUUAUUUUUUUAACAAUGAUUUUUGUAGAAUUAAUUGAUCCUAAUUAUAGAUUAUAAGUUUAAGUUACUUUAGGGAUAACAGCGUAAUUUUUCCUGAGAGCUCAUAUCGAAGGAGAAGUUUGCGACCUCGAUGUUGAAUUAAAUUAUCUUCUUAUGUGCAGCAGCUAAGAUAGAUGGUCUGUUCGACCUUUAAAGAUUUACAUGAUUUGAGUUCAAACCGGCGUAAGCCAGGUUGGUUUCUAUCUCUUGAUUAAGUGAGAUUUUUUUAGUACGAAAGGAUUAAAAAGUUUAAAUAUUUUAUAAGUUGUAUUAUAAUAAUUAAUUUACGAAAUUGCUAAUAAUUUUGUGAAAAAUAAUUUAUUAGUUAACUGUUUGUAUUAAUAAAAUAGUUUAUG